AUUGAACGCUGGCGGCAUGCCUUACACAUGCAAGUCGAACGGUAACGGGCCUUCGGGUGCCGACGAGUGGCGGACGGGUGAGUAAUGUAUCGGAACGUACCUUUCAGUGGGGGAUAACGUAGCGAAAGUUACGCUAAUACCGCAUAUUCUGUGAGCAGGAAAGCAGGGGAUCGCAAGACCUUGCGCUGAUUGAGCGGCCGAUAUCAGAGUAGCUAGUUGGUGAGGUAAAGGAUCACCAAGGCGACGAUCUGUAGCGGGUCUGAGAGGAUGAUCCGCCACACUGGAACUGAGACACGGUCCAGACUCCUACGGGAGGCAGCAGUGGGGAAUUGUGGACAAUGGGGGCAACCCUGAUCCAGCCAUGCCGCGUGAGUGAAGAAGGCCUUCGGGUUGUAAAGCUCUUUCGGCCGGGAAGAAAUCGUAUCAGCUAAUACCUGGUGCGGAUGACGGUACCGGCAUAAGAAGCACCGGCUAACUACGUGCCAGCCGCCGCGGUAAUAC
rnacentral:rRNA from 1 species